ensembl:lncRNA
AAUUUUACUGCAUGUACAAAUUUUAAUACAGAUUAGCAGAUUUUUUACACAUUUGAAAACCUAAUUACAGACAGACAAAUUUUCAUAUAACUUUUGCAGAUUCCGGUUCGCAUUGACAAAUCUCAGUUCGCAUAGACAAAUUCAUUUACACAUUGACAAAUCUCAUUUCGGACACACGCAUUGAGAUACAGACAGACAACUCUCCAUUCGCAUUGACAAAUAGUUUUGCUACAAUAAUACCCCCAUAAAUUUGUGCCACUCCAAAAAACCUUUUCUGUCCACCACAGUCUCUACAAUGCCAAAAACAAUAGAAAUGGGCUUUUUACGACCAUGGGGAGAAUCUGGAGUCCUGGUGUUCUCCAUUGUUAGAAUAUGUUUGUUUAUUAUUAUUAUUAUUAUUAUUAUUAUUAUUAUUCAAAGUCAUUUUCUGUGCAUCUUGUGUCUUCUCUGUGUCUGGCAGAGAGAGUGAUCUGCGGCCAAAGCCAGUGAAGGACCUGCUGCUCUCUGAGUGGAGCUGCGAGCUGCUCUCCCAAAGAGCUGUAACUAUCCCCCGACAAAAAAAAUGAUAGAAAGUUCCAAAACCGCGCUUUGGCCAUCUCUCCUCUGUAUAUUUCUAAAAUAUUCCACUCUCUUACUAGCAACACAGACACGCUUUCACUGGGAGCAUGUCUUUGCGACCGCUCCCAUCCCCCAGCCGCUGCAAGUGUUGAACGUCUUGUCCCAGGUGCUCCCAGCAGGGAGUCUUCACAGAAUCUCCCGUUUAGCCGUGCAUCAUACAAUGACGCACGAAAUGCGCUCGUCUAAAGUUCACUCAAAAGUACAGUGUUUAUUAUUGAUCAUAACUCUGGUUUUACUUGGCCGAUCAACACGAUUCAAAAACUGGUAGAAAGUUCAAAAUCUGUACUUUCGACACAAGUUUAAAGGGAGACUCGUCGACGCUUCAUCUUCCUGCUUCGUUCGAUUACGCAGAGGGUUAAGUAAUUCACAGACAUGUCAGGAGGUAAUGGGAGUUAGCAGAGCUGCCGCUAAUGUUUACUCCGUUCUUACGUUAUUCUGCUGCUCACUGUAACGUUAGUAGUAGUUGUGAGAUGUAGAGCACUGGGAUGUUUAGUACAAUUUCGGAAGAGUUUUCUGCGUUUACCUUCAACACGUUUUCUCUCUGGAGCUUCUCACACGAGAAAACUUUCCCUCUCUGCUGUGGGUGUGUCUGUGUGUGCGUGAAGGCAGCUUCAGAUUCAGAGGCUCUGCCUCUAUAGCUUAACCAAUCAGAGGGUGCGGGGUGGAUAGUGCUGGAGACAGAAGGCAGGAGAGAAAGAGGCACGGCUGCAUCUGAACUGAAAUAACCCAGUUUUAAAUUGAUUUCUUCAUAUUGGCCCGUCGGAUUAAAAAAAGGCCGAUGCCGAUAUAUGUCAAAUUCCCAAAUAUCGGCGCCGAUAAUCGGCCCGACCGAUAAUCGGUCAAUCACUAAUUCAAAGAGUGCAAUACUCCACCAAGACUGUUCAUUACCUGACCUUGCGCUGAACACAGACGUGUGUUAUGCAUGUGUACAUAUCACGUGACGUAAAUAUGCAGCAGGCGGCAGAAAUUGAUGGAACUCAGAAAACCCCCCACAAUUUAACCAGUUAUUCCUUGCAUCAUUUCCGAUCUGUCCAUACCGGUGGAUUUGUAGCAUGAUCGCAAUCAUGUGAUCAUCAGCGGGCGCUGAGGCAGCAUUCACUUGUUGCCAUGGUUAUUGUGUUAUCAGACGCCGUGCCGCUAUCUCAAUAGGAAAUCCUUAAAAAAUCCGUGGAUCCAGGCUUUAAGCCGCAUCACUGCCAAAAUCGAAUCACUUGGUCCUUGUGUCAUUUCUGACCUUCCCUGGAAAUACUCACAAACAGACAUCAAACAGGAAACAUACAAAUCCCUUUUAAGGGAUUUGGAUGAUGUCUGUUUUUGAGUAAUGUUGCUAACAGAGGAAGGAUGCACAUAUGCCGAUCCUCACAUAACUCCGCUGUGUUCCUUGGCGGAAUAACUAAUCUAACUUCCCUUCAUUCUUUCAGAGCUCCAACAGAUCUGGAUGCAACAGUUCCCAUCACGGUGA